CCGUGCUAGACGGGGAGGUAGCGGUGCCCUGUAGCCCGCAAUCCGCUCUAGCGGGGUUGAAUCCCCUCCCGAGGGCGUUCCGUGUCGAAUGAGCCUCAUCGGGCGGCGUCGAAGGUUGGGCCCCACGCAACGGGAAGCGUCGAACCCCGCCAGGCCCGGAAGGGAGCAACGGUAAGGCGCCACUCCCGUGUGCCGUGGGAGUACCUGACUGGAGCAGGCUUGAUGAGGAGAUCGCGGUACGGAUCGUUCGGAGGGGGGUGCACGG
rnacentral:SRP_RNA from 1 species